GAGCCUACGGGCGGGGGCGGGGGGCGGGGGCUUCGCGGGGUCGGGGCGGGGUUGGGGGCGGGGCCCGGGCGGGGCGCGGAUCGGACGGUCGGAGGACACGCCCCGCGGGGGGUAGUCUGCCGCCCCACGCCCUCGCUUCCGUUUCCGCGGGAGACCGCGCGGGGAUCCUCGCGUUCCGCGUGCAGUGGCGUCGGUCCAAAUGUGCGUGGUGCUUACCCAAGAGAGCCUCAAGGACACGGCAGGAGGGUCCCCGCGUCAGACCAGGGCGAUCGCCUGACAAGAGACACAGCGGAGAUGAAAGGCUGUCUGAGACACGUGACGAGCCUUGAGCUCAUUGAGGGGAGUCAUUUCCGACGGGGUUGUGGGGGGCAAGGAUGUGGUGGGGGGUGCUGAGAAGCAGGAGAAAAGACUUCGUCAUGCUUUAGAGAGCGGCCUUGCCAGGAUAGGGAGAGCUGAGAAAAACACAGAAGGAAAGGAGAGAUGAAUCAGAGUAAGAUAUUCUCAACGUGGGUGCCGGACGGAUCCCAAAUGAACCAAGUCAGAUGAUGUUCCUUCUCAGCUCAGACGUGUCCCCAAUCAAAAGACAGAUGCGGAACGUUAUUUGGCAUGAGAAGGAGAGAAGUACUGCUACGUACCACGGCGUGCAUGAACUUUGAAAACUUUACCCCGAGUGAAACUUAGAAAAGACCACACAGGGACACUUGGGUGGCUCAGUUGGUUGAGCGUCUGACCGGUGAUUUCAGCUUAGGACAGGAUCUCAGGGUCUUGGGAUCAAGCCCCGCACCACGCUCCGUGCUUCGUGGGGCGGGGGGGGCGGGUAGUCUGCCUGAA